rnacentral:rRNA from 1 species
GACGAACGCUGGCGGCGUGCUUAACACAUGCAACUUGAACGGAGAAUUUGCUUCGGUGAAUUCUUAGUGGCGAACGGGUGAGUAACGCGUAGGCAACCUGCCCUCUGGUUGGGGACAACAUUCCGAAAGGGAUGCUAAUACCGAAUGUGCUCCCGCCUCCGCAUGGAGGCGGGAGGAAAGAUGGCCUCUACUUGUAAGCUAUCGCCAGAAGAUGGGCCUGCGUCUGAUUAGCUAGUAGGUGGGGUAACGGCUCACCUAGGCGAUGAUCAGUAGCCGGUCUGAGAGGAUGAACGGCCACAUUGGGACUGAGACACGGCCCAAACUCCUACGGGAGGCAGCAGUGGGGAAUCUUCCGCAAUGGACGAAAGUCUGACGGAGCAACGCCGCGUGAGUGAUGAAGGUCUUCGGAUUGUAAAACUCUGUUGUCAGGGACGAAUGUACUGAUUUACAAUACACUUCGGUAUUGACGGUACCUGACGAGGAAGCCACGGCUAACUACGUGCCAGCAGCCGCGGUAAUACGUAGGUGGCAAGCGUUGUCCGGAAUUAUUGGGCGUAAAGAGCAUGUAGGCGGGCUUUUAAGUCCGACGUGAAAAUGCGGGGCUUAACCCCGUAUGGCGUUGGAUACUGGGAGUCUUGAGUGCAGGAGAGGAAAAGGGGAAUUCCCAGUGUAGCGGUGAAAAGCGUAGAUAUUAGGAGGAACACCGGUGGCGAAGGCGGCCUUCUGGACUGAAAAUGACACUGAGGCACGAAAGCGUGGGUAGCAAACAGGAUUAGAUACCCUGGUAGUCCACGCCGUAAACGAUGAGCACUAGGUGUCGGGCUCGAGAGAGUUCGGUGCCGGAGCAAACGCAUUAAGUGCUCCGCCUGGGGAGUACGCACGCAAGUGUAAAACUCAAAGGAAUUGACGGGGACCCGCACAAGCAGCGGAGCAUGUGGUUUAAUUCGAAGCAACGCGAAGAACCUUACCAGAGCUUGACAUCCUCCUGACCGGGGAAGUAAUGUUCCCCUUCUCUUCGGAGCAGGAGUGACAGGUGGUGCAUGGUUGUCGUCAGCUCGUGUCGUGAGAUGUUGGGUCAAGUCCCGCAACGAGCGCAACCCUUGCUGUCAGUUGCCAUCAUUAAGUUGGGCACUCUGACGGGACUGCCGGGGAUAACCCGGAGGAAGGCGGGGAUGACGUCAAAUCAUCAUGCCCCUUAUGACUUGGGCUACACACGUGCUACAAUGGCGUAAACAAAGGGAAGCAAAGCUGUGAAGCCGAGCAAAUCUCAAAAAUAACGUCUCAGUUCGGACUGUAGUCUGCAAUCCGACUACACGAAGCUGGAAUAGCUAGUAAUAGCAGAUCAGAAUGCUGCGGUGAAUA